CAUGGCUGGGAUCACCACCAUCGAGGCGGUGAAGCGCAAGAUCCAAGUUGUGCAGCAGCAGGCCAGUGAUGCAGAGGAGAGAGCCGAGCGCCUCCAGCGGGAAGUGGAGGGAGAAAGGCGGGCCCAGGAGCAGGCCGAGGCUGAGGUGGCCUCCUUGAACUGCAGGAUCCAGCUGGUUGAAGAGGAGCUGGAUCGUGCCCAAGAGCGCCUAGCCACUGCCCUGCAAAAGUUGGAGGAAGUGGAAAAAGCUGCUGACGAGAGUGAAAGAGGUAUAAGGUUAUUGAAAACCUAGCCUUAAAAGAUGGAACUGCAGGAAAUCCAGCUCAAAGAAGCGAAAAAUAUUGCAGAAGAGGCAGAUAGGAAAUAUGAAGAGGUGGCUCAUAAGUUGGUGAUUAUUGAAGGAGACUUAGAACGCACAGAGGAACGAGCUGAGCUGGCAGAGUCCCGUCGCUGAGAUGGAUGAGCAGAUCAGACUGAUGGACCAGAACCUGAAGUGUCUGAGCACUGCUGAAGAAAAGUAUUCUCAAAAAGAAGACAAACAUGAGGAAGAGAUAAAAAUUCUUACUGAUAAACUCAAGGAGGCAGAGACCCAUGUGGAGUUUGCUGAGAGAUCGGUAGCUAAGCUGGAAAAGACAAUUGAUGAUUUGGAAAAUAAACUGAAAUGUACCAAAGAGGAGCACCUCUGUACACAAAGAAUGCUGGACCAGACUCUGCUUGACCUGGAUGAGAUGUAGAGCACCCCAGUCCCCUCUGCUGCCGCUUCUCCCUCUGACCCUGACUCCACCUGAGGCCAUCCUGCCUGAAGCUGACCUUUGAACUGAGGGCUGAUCUUUAACUGGAAGACUGCUUUCUCCUUUCUCCGCUCCCUCCAUCCCCUACUACCCCUCCGCCAUGUCUUUUUUGCCAAACUAUCUCUGUCUCUUCCCAGAAAUUCCAGCUGGGCUCGAGGCUGAGCAUCUUUGGGAACAACAUUUAAGGGAAUGUCAGCAUAAUGCAAAAUGUCUUUAAAAGCAUGUUGUGAUGUACACAUUUUGUAACUACCUUUUUUAUUGUUGUGGCAACCAUUUGUAAAACAUUCCAGAUACUUCCCCAGCUCUUGAAGCAGCAAUCUAAUCCCUUUCUCACUUUUGGAAGAUGACUUUUCAGUUUAAUUCAUAUUGCCCUCUUCUUAGAAGAGGGGGAAAAGGUAUGGGCCUGCCUUACUGAGAACCAAACAGAGCCCAGGGAGAUAUUCCUCUAUGGACAACCUCACUCCUCAAAGUACCAGCCAAACCAGAAAGGUGAUCCUAGGAGGAGUUAGCCAAAAAAAAAAA